rnacentral:lncRNA from 1 species
AUGGUCGCGGGUAAAAAAUAAGUUAGAGGAGGAAAAGGAGGACAAGAAGGAGAAGAGUGUGGAGAGAAAGAAGAGGGGAAAGAAUGGAUACUGGCGAGAAGGAAUGGAGGUGGAAGGGGCCACCAUAAAAGAAUGACUUGUGGAUGAUUUGGAGGAAAAAGAGGAUGAGGAGGUGAAAUAAAUGAGAAGAAAAGAAAGAAGGUGGAGAAAGCCACCAUAGAGGAGGAGAAAUAAGUAAAAAGGAAGGGGAGAGACAAAAAAUUUUUAUCGAUGAGAAGGGAUGGAUGUAGAGGGAGCCAUCUAAAAAGAUAGGCCUCAUGGAUUGGUUUGGAGGAGAAAACGAAUGAGGAGAAGAAAGAGAAUGAGGAGGAAGAGAAGGAGAGAGGGGCCACUGGUAAAGAAAAUGGUGGAGGAUGAGGAGAAGAGAAUAGGGAGGAAGAAGAUGGGAAAGAUGAGAAAGGACAAAGAUGGAGGAUGUCACCGUGAAGGUGGAUGGUUUAUGGACGGCUUAGAGGAGGAAGAUGAGAAGAAGAAGAAGCAGAUGGAGAGGAAGAGGAGAUGGUGGAAUGGGUGGAGAAAGGAGAGGAGGAUAAAGGAGGAGGGAAAAAGGGGAGG